rnacentral:rRNA from 1 species
UACAGAGACUGCAAGCGUUAUUCGGAUUCACUGGGCGUAAAGGGUGCGCAGGCGGCCGGGUGUGUCAGAUGUGAAAUCCCGAGGCUCAACCUCGGAACUGCGUCUGAAACUACUCGGCUAGAGUACUGGAGAGGGUAACGGAAUUCACGGUGUAGCAGUGAAAUGCGCAGAUAUCAGGAGGAACACCGGUGGCGAAGGCGGUUCUCUGGGCAUUACCUGACGCUGAGGAGCGAAAGUGUGGGGAGCGAACAGG